UAGGGAAUCUUCGGCAAUGGACGGAAGUCUGACCGAGCAACGACGCGUGAGUGAAGAAGGUUUUCGGAUCGUAAAGCUCUGUUGUUAGAGAAGAACGUUGGUAGGAGUGGAAAAUCUACCAAGUGACGGUAACUAACCAGAAAGGGACGGCUAACUACGUGCCAGCAGCCGCGGUAAUACGUAGGUCCCGAGCGUUGUCCGGAUUUAUUGGGCGUAAAGCGAGCGCAGGCGGUUCUUUAAGUCUGAAGUUAAAGGCAGUGGCUUAACCAUUGUACGCUUUGGAAACUGGAGGACUUGAGUGCAGAAGGGGAGAGUGGAAUUCCAUGUGUAACGGUGAAAUGCGUAGAUAUAUGGAGGAACACCGGUGGCGAAAGCGGCUCUCUGGUCUGUAACUGACGCUGAGGCUCGAAAGCGUGGGGAGCAAACAGG
rnacentral:rRNA from 1 species